rnacentral:rRNA from 1 species
CCUACGGGAGGCAGCAGUAAGGAAUAUUGGUCAAUGGACGAAAGUCUGAACCAGCCAUGCCGCGUGAAGGAUUAAGGCCCUCUGGGUUGUAAACUUCUUUUAUCUGGGACGAAAAAAGGGUAUUCUUACUCACUUGACGGUACCAGAGGAAUAAGCACCGGCUAACUCCGUGCCAGCAGCCGCGGUAAUACGGAGGGUGCAAGCGUUAUCCGGAUUUACUGGGUUUAAAGGGUGCGUAGGUGGGCUUGUAAGUCAGUGGUGAAAUCUCCGGGCUUAACCCGGAAACUGCCAUUGAUACUAUAGGUCUUGAAUUAUCUGGAGGUAAGCGGAAUAUGUCAUGUAGCGGUGAAAUGCUUAGAUAUGACAUAGAACACCAAUUGCGAAGGCAGCUUACUACGGAUAUAUUGACACUGAGGCACGAAAGCGUGGGGAUCAAACAGGAUUAGAUACCCUGGUAGUCCACGCCCUAAACGAUGGAUACUCGACAUCAGCGAUACACUGUUGGUGUCUGAGCGAAAGCAUUAAGUAUCCCACCUGGGAAGUACGAUCGCAAGAUUGAAACUCAAAGGAAUUGACGGCUGAGAGNGCGAGACGACGACGAGGGAGGAGG